rnacentral:tRNA from 1 species
GGAGAGGUACCAAAGUGGUCGCACUGGGAUCGUCUCGAAAGCGAUUUGUCUCGCAAGGGGCACGCGAGUUCGAAUCUCGCCCUCUCCG